rnacentral:rRNA from 1 species
UACGUAGGGUGCAAGCGUUAAUCGGAAUUACUGGGCGUAAAGCGUGCGCAGGCGGUUCUAUAAGACAGAUGUGAAAUCCCCGGGCUCAACCUGGGAACUGCAUUUGUGACUGUAGAGCUGGAGUACGGUAGAGGGGAUGGAAUUCCGCGUGUAGCAGUGAAAUGCGUAGAUAUGCGGAGGAACACCGAUGGCGAAGGCAAUCCCCUGGACCUGUACUGACGCUCAUGUACGAAAGCGUGGGGAGCAACAGG